GACGAACGCUGGCGGCGUGCCUAAUACAUGCAAGUAGAACGCUGAAGGAGGAGCUUGCUCUUCUGGAUGAGUUGCGAACGGGUGAGUAACGCGUAGGUAACCUGCCUGGUAGCGGGGGAUAACUAUUGGAAACGAUAGCUAAUACCGCAUAAGAGUAGAUGUUGCAUGACAUUUGCUUAAAAGGUGCAAUUGCAUCACUACCAGAUGGACCUGCGUUGUAAUAGCUAGUUGGUGGGGUAACGGCUCACCAAGGCGACGAUACAUAGCCGACCUGAGAGGGUGAUCGGCCACACUGGGACUGAGACACGGCCCAGACUCCUACGGGAGGCAGCAGUAGGGAAUCUUCGGCAAUGGACGGAAGUCUGACCGAGCAACGCCGCGUGAGUGAAGAAGGGUUUCGGAUCGUAAAGCUCUGUUGUAAGAGAAGAACGAGUGUGAGAGUGGAAAGUUCACACUGUGACGGUAUCUUACCAGAAAGGGACGGCUAACUACGUG
rnacentral:rRNA from 1 species